UACAGAGGGUGCGAGCGUUAAUCGGAAUUACUGGGCGUAAAGGGUGCGUAGGUGGUUAUUUAAGUCAGAUGUGAAAACCCUGGGCUUAACCUAGGAACAGCAUUUGAAACUGGAUAGCUAGAGUGCGGAAGAGAGAAGUGGAAUUUCCGGUGUAGCGGUGAAAUGCGUAGAUAUCGGAAGGAACAUCAGUGGCGAAGGCGACUUCUUGGUCCGUUACUGACACUGAGGCACGACAGCGUGGGGAGCAAACAGG
rnacentral:rRNA from 1 species